rnacentral:lncRNA from 1 species
CCAUAUUCUUUUAUUUUGAGUAAUAUGCUUAUUUACUAGAUUCUAGAAUAGGUGUGAACAAAUCUUUUCUUAUAUUGAAGUAUGCAGUGUUGUUUACUGAUUUCUAUACUAUCUAUGUUAACAGUGAUAUUCUUUUAAACAAGACAUUGCGCUAACACUUAUGGAAUUUGAGCUUAGCUUCAGGGUAGAGUUCCCGUUUUCGGCUUUAGUGAGUUUGAACAAGCAGUGUUGUAGCUUCAGGGUAGAGUUCCUUACAAUAGUGGAAGUGAGUUUGAACAAGCAGUGAGGUGUUGUUACUAUUCUUUUCUUAGUUGUUCACAAGCAGUGAGGUGUUGUUACUAUUCUUUUCUUAGUUGUUCACAAGCAAGGAGUAGAUCGAGAGAACUAGUGUACGAGAACAAGAAGCAAGGCAAUUAGGAAGUGAUUAAAGUCUCGGGAUAGCGGUGCCUAGCUUACUUAUGAAUCUAAGGAGUGAGUUUCAGAGUUAUAGGUUACAAAUUAUUAUAGAGUAGGGAGGAGCAUAGUGGGCAGCUCAAGUGUUCCGUGCACAGUAAUAUGGAAUAGCGUAAAAACACAGCUCUGACUUUAGCUACGAAAGGAGUUGCCCUCACCUUUACUUGAGCGUAGAAAAGAUGAGCGUAGAAAAGAGUCAAAUGCUCUAACUUGAGUGAGCGGGUGCGCCGGGCAAUAAAUCAGAAUAUCGGUUUGGUGCUUUCCCUUGUAGUGGUCCAGUCCAAGCAUGUUGGUUCAGGUAAAGCAUUAGAAGGCUUCUUUCUAGUAGACAAUACUUGCCCCUUCCCUCCAACUUCAGUAAACUGCGUAGUGAACAACCAACCCCUAUUUAUUGUCUCUGUGAACUACCCCUAUCUAUGGUCUCUGUGAACAACCCUCUUUCUGGUCGUUUAACAUGGGUUCAACUCAUAUUAUAGCUCAUCCCAUUGUUUGUUGUACUCGAUCAUACUAAAGAGUAACUCAGUAAGCGCUUAAUUAAUAGUUGUUUGUUGAUUAGCCCUCUUGCUCUGCUCUUGACUUCCUUUCUCCUUUACCUUCAAGCUGUGGUGCACUAAAUGCUCCUCUUCCUUUGCACUCACAUUCCACAAGUCAAAUAGAACAAGCAACGAAAUAAACAAAUGGAAAUGGAACUCGCUUAUGGUUACUUCAUACUUGUGCGUUAUCGAAUGACUCGGUAAAUAGGCUAUCAUAUUUGCUUUUGCACUCAAUUCCUUUGACUUUAGUUUGAAACCCCCCACCCAGAUUGAGUUCCCGCUGACAAACGACUCUUCCUUGAUACCGUGUAGUGGGCUAAGCAUUCUAAAGGAGCUUGGGUCUUUCGAGACUACAACUUGUAUUUUUCAAUCCAAAACCACUCAUUCUGUUCCUUAUGGGAUUAGGGACCCUCUAUCAGGUUAAUGCUUUUUCUCAUUGGUUUAUGGCCCUGGGUGGAUUUCUUUCUGGCAUUUCGUCAAGUGAUUUUCAUCGUGGUACUACUAGUCACUCUUUUCGGCACAUCAUAGGACUUACCAUCUUAUGUCGAAUCAGCUUCAGAGGAAUCCCUUGAUCCCAGAAGUCAGACCUUUCCCAUAGGUGGUGGGGAAUAACAAAAGUGCAUUCAUUCCAAAGAUAACAAAUAGAAGCAUUAUACAUUCAUUCCAAAGAUAACAAAUAGAGCAUUAUAUUGAAACUAACCACUCAUAAUCCAAAUAGUGAUCUCUCAGUCUAUCACCGCACUAUACAUGUCCUAUUCUCAUAGUAUCCAAUAACUGGAUCAGAAGCAAGCCUGAGCAGGAAUGGAUUUGAAUUGCAUAUUUCGAGCGCAUGCCGUAUAAGGUAGGAAUUUAGGAGCAUUGCCAACUUUCUCCGUUAAUGCAGUCAAGACAAAGACAGUUUAGUCAGAAGGCAUACAGUCAUCUUUAGAUUCGAGCGAAGAAGCCAGAGUAGGAGCAGGAUUAGGAACAUCACUUCACUUCGAUGUACUAUAUUCUUUCACAUAACAGAACUUCGAAUUGGAGUUUGGGCCAGCGAAACAUACUAUAUGGGGCAAACAUUUCUUUCAAUUGAUCAACAACUAGCUUACUCACACUCGGCGCGCAACUCAUUCUUAUACUUGUUCCCUUGCUUUCGAUCUACCACAUCGGCCGAGCAACUAGCUACAGCGGGAUUGGACGUCUCUCCAUCUCAUCACGCUCCCCUACAACUAUAAAAGGCCGGCGGAAGGAAUGCUCAGCUCAUCUUUCUUAUGUGACCGCAGCGCUCGUUCACCCCUUCGGCUUCUUUCAUUCAAAAAGGUCGGUCGGUCGUUUUUCCUAUUCUUAUUUGUCAAUCUCGUCUUUAAGCGAAGGCAUUAUUGAACGAAAGAGAUGUCUGGUAGGUCAAUUGCAUUAGGUAUGGGAUGCAGUACCUGUCUUAACCGCAAGUGCAUUCGCUAUUCGAGGAUAGAAUAGAACCCGGGCAUACGAGCCUGUUACUACUGUUUAUCGUCCCGACAUCCUUUGCUUUGAUUCCAAAGUAUGUAUCUCUUCUUGACUUUGUAAGUGACAAGGGGGGUUACAAACUGUCCACUUUCUUCUCUAUGUUACCGUCUCAUCCAUGAGCGUAGAUUUCUAUAGAUGUUGCCGUCUCAUCCAUGAGAUUUCUAUAGAUUGCUUU